rnacentral:tRNA from 1 species
AGGUGGUAUGGCCAAGUGGUAAGGCAGAGGAUUGCAAAUCCUUUAUUCCCCAGUUCGAAUCUGGGUACCACCUA